AAUUAAGUGGAGGGAUUUGGCCGAUUGCAACCACUCAAAAAAAGUGCUAAAACGCGUCUU
rfam:Geofilum rubicundum JCM 15548 DNA, contig: JCM15548.contig00014.